GGGAAUUUCUUUCUAAGCUAAAUAUCACCACGAGACCGAUAGCGAACAAGUACCGUGAGGGAAAGUUGAAAAGCAUUCUGAAUAGAGAGUCAAAAAGUACGUGAAACUGCCUAGGGCUCAAGCCCGUUGAACUCGAUUAUCCGCGGCGGAGAUAUUCACCUGCGGUUGGCCCUCACCCGGUCCGCCGCAGGGCACUUACCUCCUGCCUCACGAGGACGUUGCGAUCCAUUACGAAACGGUUAGCCAGCGAUGGCUACAGGCCCGGCACCUGCCCCUUGGCAUCUGGUUGCUUGUCCCACAGUAGCGGCGCUCAGUUCGGAAGGCCUGCGCCGCAACCUGGGGCUUACCGGUGCGUGGUGUGCAGCCGGGCGCGUGAUGGAUUCCCGCGUACACCGUCUCGGGAGAGGCUCGCCUCUCCCACCUCCACCAAGGUGACGGACUGUCGAUCGGCAACGAUAAAAUCGAGGUACCUUCGGGACCCGUCUUGAAACACGGACCAAA
rnacentral:rRNA from 1 species